UACCAGCACCCCGAGUGGUCGGGACGUUUAUUGGGCCUAAAAGCAUCCGUAGCCGGUUCUACAAGUCUUCCGUUAAAUCCAACUGCUUAACAGGUGGGCUGCGGAAGAUACUAUAGAGCUAGGAGGCGGGAGAGGCAAGCGGUACUCGAUGGGUAGGGGUAAAAUCCGUUGAUCCAUUGAAGACCACCAGUGGCGAAGGCGGCUUGCCAGAACGCGCUCGACGGUGAGGGAUGAAAGCUGGGGGAGCAAACCGG
rnacentral:rRNA from 1 species